rnacentral:rRNA from 1 species
GAAGCUGGAAUCGCUAGUAAUCGCAGAUCAGAAUGCUGCGGUGAAUACGUUCCCGGGUCUUGUACACACCGCCCGUCACACCAUGGGAGUCGGAAAUGCCCGAAGUCUGUGACCCAACCUACGGGAGGGAGCAGCCGAAGGCAGGUCGGAUGACUGGGGUGAAGUCGUAACAAGGUAAC